CCUACGGGAGGCAGCAGUGAGGAAUAUUGGUCAAUGGGCGCGAGCCUGAACCAGCCAAGUAGCGUGAAGGAUGACUGCCCUACGGGUUGUAAACUGCUUUUAUAAAGGAAUAAAGUGAGGCACGUGUGCCGUGUUGUAUGUACCUUAUGAAUAAGGAUCGGCUAACUCCGUGCCAGCAGCCGCGGUAAUACGGAGGAUCCGAGCGUUAUCCGGAUUUAUUGGGUUUAAAGGGAGCGUAGAUGGGUUGUUAAGUCAGAUGUGAAAGUUUGCGGCUCAACCGUAAAAUUGCAUUUGAUACUGGCAGCCUUUAGUACAGUUGCGGUAGGCGGACUUCGUGGUUUAGCGG
rnacentral:rRNA from 1 species